UACGAAGGGGGCUAGCGUUGCUCGGAAUUACUGGGCGUAAAGGGAGCGUAGGCGGAUAGUUUAGUCAGAGGUGAAAGCCCAGGGCUCAACCCUGGAAUUGCCUUUGAUACUGGCUAUCUUGAGUGUGGGAGAGGUUAGCGGAACUCCGAGUGUAGAGGUGAAAUUCGUAGAUAUUCGGAAGAACACCAGUGGCGAAGGCGGACUA
rnacentral:rRNA from 1 species